AGUGAACGCUGGCGGUAGGCCUAACACAUGCAAGUCGAACGGCAGCACAGUAAGAGCUUGCUCUUACGGGUGGCGAGUGGCGGACGGGUGAGGAAUACAUCGGAAUCUACUUUUUCGUGGGGGAUAACGUAGGGAAACUUACGCUAAUACCGCAUACGACCUACGGGUGAAGGCAGGGGAUCUUCGGACCUUGCGCGAUUGAAUGAGCCGAUGUCGGAUUAGCUAGUUGGCGGGGUAAAGGCCCACCAAGGCGACGAUCCGUAGCUGGUCUGAGAGGAUGAUCAGCCACACUGGAACUGAGACACGGUCCAGACUCCUACGGGAGGCAGCAGUGGGGAAUAUUGGACAAUGGGCGCAAGCCUGAUCCAGCCAUACCGCGUGGGUGAAGAAGGCCUUCGGGUUGUAAAGCCCUUUUGUUGGGAAAGAAAAGCAGCAGGUUAAUACCCCGCUGCUCUGACGGUACCCAAAGAAUAAGCACCGGCUAACUUCGUG
rnacentral:rRNA from 1 species